rnacentral:rRNA from 1 species
AUUGAACGCUGGCGGCAGGCCUAACACAUGCAAGUUGAGCGGUUGAAGUUAGCUUGUGUCUGGACUCAGUGGCGGGCGGGUGAGUAAUUCCUAGGAAUCUGCCCUGCCGUGGGGGAUGACGCCCCGUAACGGGAGCUAUUAUAGCAUCCGAUCAGAGGGUGGAAGUGAGGGAUCAUGGGACCUCACGCUAUCAGAUGAGCCGAGGUCGGAUUAGCUAGUUGGUGGGGUAAAGGCCUACCAAGGCGACGAUCCGUAACUGGUCUGAGAGGAUGAUCAGUCACACUGGAACUGAGACACGGUCCAAACUCCUACGGGAGGCAGCAGUGGGGAAUAUUGGACAAUGGGCGAAGGCCUGAUCCAGCCAUGCCGCGUGUGUGAAAAAGGUCUUCGGAUGGUAAAGCACUUUAGGUUGGGAGAAAGGGCGGUAAGUUAAUACCUUCCUGUAUUGACGGUACCAACAGAGAAAGCGACGGCUAACUACGUG